rnacentral:snoRNA from 1 species
GAGAUCAAUGAUGAGAAUGUGUCCUUAACUAAAGAUUAUAAUUUAUUUAAUUUCGUGCAUCUGAGUUCCAAU